rnacentral:rRNA from 1 species
UACGGAGGGUGCGAGCGUUGUCCGGAAUCAUUGGGCGUAAAGGGCGCGUAGGUGGCCCGGUCAGUCUUUGGUGAAAGCGCGGGGCUCAACCCUGCGUCGGCCAGGGAUACUGCCGCGGCUCGAGCACUGUAGAGGCAGGCGGAAUUCCGGGUGGUAGCGGUGGAAUGCGUAGAGAUCCGGAAGAACACCGGUGGCGAAGGCGGCCUGCUGGGCAGUUUGCUGACACUGAGGCGCGACAGCGUGGGGAGCAAACAGG